rnacentral:tRNA from 1 species
ACCUGGUUGGCUCAGUUGGAAGAGCAUGUGACUCUUGAUCUCAGAGUCGUGAAUUUGAGCCCCACAUUGAGUA